GCAGUCGACGAUGAAGCCGGAGCUUGCUCUGGUGGAUUAGUGGCGAACGGGUGAGUAACACGUGAGUAACCUACCCUUGACUCUGGGAUAAGCCCGGGAAACUGGGUCUAAUACCGGAUAUGAGUCAUCACCGCAUGGUGGUGGUUUGAAAGAUUUAUCGGUCUUGGAUGGACUCGCGGCCUAUCAGCUUGUUGGUGAGGUAAUGGCUCACCAAGGCGACGACGGGUAGCCGGCCUGAGAGGGUGACCGGCCACACUGGGACUGAGACACGGCCCAGACUCCUACGGGAGGCAGCAGUGGGGAAUAUUGCACAAUGGGCGGAAGCCUGAUGCAGCGACGCCGCGUGAGGGAUGACGGCCUUCGGGUUGUAAACCUCUUUCAGUAGGGAAGAAGCGAAAGUGACGGUACCUGCAGAAGAAGCACCGGCUAACUACGUGCCAGCAGCCGCGGUAAUACGUAGGGUGCGAGCGUUAUCCGGAAUUAUUGGGCGUAAAGAGCUCGUAGGCGGUUUGUCGCGUCUGUCGUGAAAGUCCGGGGCUUAACCCCGGAUCUGCGGUGGGUACGGGCAGACUAGAGUGCAGUAGGGGAGACUGGAAUUCCUGGUGUAGCGGUGGAAUGCGCAGAUAUCAGGAGGAACACCGAUGGCGAAGGCAGGUCUCUGGGCUGUAACUGACGCUGAGGAGCGAAAGCAUGGGGAGCGAACAGGAUUAGAUACCCUGGUAGUCCAUGCCGUAAACGUUGGGCACUAGGUGUGGGGAACAUUCCACGUUUUCCGCGCCGUAGCUAACGCAUUAAGU
rnacentral:rRNA from 1 species